rnacentral:misc_RNA from 1 species
UACAGAGGGUGCGAGCGUUAAUCGGAUUUACUGGGCGUAAAGCGUGCGUAGGCGGCUUGUUAAGUUGGGUGUUAAAUCCCCGGGCUUAACUUGGGGAUUGCAUUCGAUACUGGGAAGCUAGAGUAUGGGAGAGGGAGGUAGAAUUCCAGGUGUAGCGGUGAAAUGCGUAGAGAUCUGGAGGAAUACCGGUGGCGAAGGCAGCCAUCUGGCCUAAUACUGACGCUGAGGUACGAAAGCAUGGGGAGCAAACAGG